rnacentral:rRNA from 1 species
AAGAAUGUCUACAGCAGUAGCACCCUGGAUCUCAUCUGAUCUCAGAAGCUAAGCAGGGUCAGGCUUGGUUAGUACUUGGAUGGGAGAAUGUCUAUAAACCAUUUCAACAACUUUCCUA